UGGUGAAUCAUUUUCNGAGGACAGCCUA
rnacentral:piRNA from 1 species